rnacentral:lncRNA from 1 species
CUGGCGGGCCAAAUCUGGACACGCCUGGGAGUGGUCCAAGGACUGGUCAUUGUCUGGCCUGGCCCUGGCUGCCAGUCAAAGGGGACAGCUUGGUCCCACAGAGGCUCCCAGUGGGGAUCUGGGUCCAAAAAUCAGUCUACUGUCCAUUAACAAACCAUGAUAGGGAUGACAGGCAAAUCAGACCUGAUCCUCGGUAGGGGAAGAGGGGAUCCUGUCUGUCACGUGAGAUGGGUUAUCAGAGGUGGCACCAGCACAGCUCGGGCUCAGCCUUCCAGACACGCCUCAGCCCUUGACGCAGUCCCCUUGGGAGCUCCCUGCACUGAUGCCAGCUUGCUCUAACGUCACUUCCGGGCUGGUGAGUUUGAUCCUUCUGUUGCGGGACCUGUGACUAAGGCAGCGGGAGGCCCGGGGCCCAGCCCUCCAUGAGCAGGCCUCCUUCACCCCUCCCUAAGAGUGGGAGAACCCACUGGAUCACUGUCUCCAGGGAAUCUUAUUGUUCACAAUCACAACUGUCUCUGCCCGCCCUGUGGUUCCCUCUGCCACAUGCUUGUUCAAGUUGUUCCUGGACUGCCUUCUCCAGCCUUCUGGGCCCAGCCACUGCCUCCAGGAAGUGCUCCUGGGUGAGAAGUAUAUUUCCUAAAACAAGGCGCUGUCAGUGAACUCAAAGACCCCGGAGGAAGACAGAAGUCAACUAUCUCCUCUUUCAUGACCCUGGGUCUGCUUCCUCAUGGGGGACCCUUUUGGCAGCUCCUGUUGGGCCGAGCUGACAACAUUCCCAGUGCUAGGGACAGUAAUAAUCACUGUCCCAUUCACGUGAUAACUCCAAGAUGGACAGAA